rnacentral:rRNA from 1 species
UGUAAGCGUAUACCAAAGUUGUUGCAGUUAAAACGCUCGUAGUCGGAAUUUGGCAGUUCCGGAUGUGUGCACGUCGUGUGCGCACUUCGCGGGGAUUGCUUUUGUGGUCUUGCGUAGGAUGAGGCACUUUUAUUAGUGAACGUCCUCACGCAACCACUUUUUACUGUGAGAAAAUCAGAGUGCUCAAAGCAGGCAUUUGCCGUGAAUGUAUUAGCACGGAAUAAUAGAAUAGGACUUGGUUCUAUUUUGUUGGUUUGUUGGGACUGAGUAAUGAUUAAGAGGGACAGUUGGGGGCAUUUGUAUUUCGGUGCUAGAGGUGAAAUUCUUAGAUUACUGAAAGACAAACUGCUGCGAAAGCGUCUGCCAAGGAUGUUUUCAUUGA